UUCACCGCAGUUGUGCUUGAUCUUCCAUUUAGUUCCUCUAGAGUGUAGAUUGUAAUGAGUAUCAUCAAGUUUUAUAAAGACAAAACCAAAUUAAAGUUUCAGUCAAGUGCAUUUAUUCGUUCAUAACAGUUACCUUCAAAAUCUAUAUAUAGAUUUACACAAGAUUAAUGUAGAGGAGGGAUAAAAUAAUGACUGGAGAGGAUUUCUCUGGUCUGAGACUCGACCGCAGCACUUUGACCUGUACACUGGAGGACUGUUUGUGGUGCUCUCCUGUGAUCCCACACAGGCAAUGAUAACUUAGCGGAGGGGGCUGUGCUAUCGCUCCUCUCCUCUGCUCGAUGGAGCAGCUUGUUGUAGAAGUAAUACAUGAUUUCCUACCAUGAUGUGACCCAAUUUCUAACUGCGGGGAGCUCGAAGGGCACUUGCCAAGGCAGUUGAUGCUGACCGCUGUUUUGCGGCUGUAAUCUUUUGGAACAGGGUACAUUUCAACAUAUAAAUCGCAUGUUUUCUGAUUGUAGUUUCAUGCACUUGACAUCUGAAUGUAGACUUUCUUCAUAAUGUACUGUACACUACCAAUCAAAUGUUUGGGGUCAGUAAGAUUUUUUUUUUUUUUUUGAAAGACACUUAUGCUCACCAAGGCUGCAUUCACUUAAUUAAAAAUACGGUAAAAUCAGUAAUAUUGUGAAAUAUUUUAACAAUCUAAAAUAAAUGUUUUCUAUUUGAAUAUAUUUUAAAAUGUAAUUUAUUUCUGUGAUGGCAAAGCUGAAUUUUCAACAGCCAUUUGUUCAAUCUUCAGUGUCACAUGAUCCUUCAGAAAUCAUUCGAACAUGUUGAUUUGCUGCGCAAAACAUUUUAAAAUGUAGAAAAUAAUGUUUUUUUUUUUUUUUGUGGAAACCAUUGAUUUUAAAUUUUGAGUUGGAAUUAAUUUUUGUUUUUUGUUUUUAACUGUCCCCAAACAUUUGAAUGGUUGUGUGUUGUAUUUCAGGCUUUUAUAUAUUGUCUAGUUCAGUGUAAUAUUAACAGUUCACCAGUCAAAUUAAUGAACAGAAACUUUGCAAAGUAAGUUUAUAAACAUUAAUAUCCUGCUUUAAAAUGGUAGUGCCAUUAAUUGUACAUGAACGCAAAUGGAUUUGAAGGCGUAAGAAAUGCAAUGAAAUGUGUUUCAUACUCAGAGACACUUCCUACAGUAGCAACUAAAGCACUUCAGUCAGAGCGUUGUGUUUGGCACUGCUUAUCGCUCGCCUCUGAUGUUAUCAAGGCGAAAUGUAAGCUCACAAAAGGAAUUUAAGAAGAGAGUAAAGUGCUACAACAAAAUAGAGUGCCCAGUGGUAGAAAUGUCACUGAUAUUGAGCUUCUUUUAUCACAGAAUUCAAGUGCAUGCCUUCAAUCGCAUGAAUGCAGCUUUAAGUUAAUAACUGCCCAGGCAGGCAAAUACCCUUUAUUUCAGACCUACAAAUUGUACGUUAUAUGCUCAGUUAUUCAUCAUGAAUGUAAAUUAAGAUCUUACAGAUGUUUACAUACCUGCAAACUCAACACCUUUGGGCGAAACUUGAAUGUACAUGUAUCUUUGAAGGGAACUGACUGUCUUCAGAAAGUUUCAAGGGUGUUUUCUUUUCAUCCUCUGUGUAAUGUCUAAUACUAUGGUGUUUAAAAGCGCACAUCUGCUUUGUGUACAGGGGUAACCACUGUAUUUCUGCUUUU
ensembl:lncRNA